UACGUAGGGUGCAAGCGUUGUCCGGAAUUAUUGGGCGUAAAGAGCUCGUAGGCGGUUUGUCGCGUCGAAUGUGAAAACCCGGGGCUCAACCCCGGGCCUGCAUUUGAUACGGGCAGACUAGAGUUCGGUAGGGGAGUCUGGAAUUCCUGGUGUAGCGGUGAAAUGCGCAGAUAUCAGGAGGAACACCGGUGGCGAAGGCGGGACUCUGGGCCGAUACUGACGCUGAGGAGCGAAAGCGUGGGGAGCGAACAGG
rnacentral:rRNA from 1 species